rnacentral:rRNA from 1 species
CCUACGGGGGGCUGCAGUGGGGGAUAUUGCACAAUGGGGGAAACCCUGAUGCAGCGACGCCGCGUGUGGGAAGACGGUCCUCUGGAUUGUAAACCACUGUCCCCAGGGACGAAGAUGACGGUACCUGGGGAGGAAGCUCCGGCUAACUACGUACCAGCAGCCGCGGUAAUACGUAGGGGGCGAGCGUUGUCCGGAAUUACUGGGUGUAAAGGGAGCGUAGGCGGGACGGCAAGUUGGGGGUCAAAUCUACGGGCUCAACCGGUAGCCGCACUCAAAACUGCAGUUCUUGAGUGAAGUAGAGGCAGGCGGAAUUCCUAGUGUAGCGGUGAAAUGCGUAGAUAUUAGGAGGAACACCAGUGGCGAAGGCGGCCUGCUGGGCUUUUACUGACGCUGAGGCUCGAAAGUGUGGGGAGCAAACAGGAUUAGAUACCCGAGUAGUC